GCCGAGGUGGCGGAAUGGCAGACGCGCUGCGUUCAGGGCGCAGUGCCCUUACGGGCGUGGGAGUUCAAAUCUCCCCCUCGGCA
rnacentral:tRNA from 1 species